rnacentral:rRNA from 1 species
UACGUAGGGGGCGAGCGUUGUUCGGAAUUACUGGGCGUAAAGGGCGCGUAGGCGGCGACCCAAGUCAGAUGUGAAAGUCCUGGGCUUAACCUGGGGACUGCAUUUGAUACUGGGUUGCUUGAAUUCGGGAGAGGAUAGCGGAAUUCCCAGUGUAGAGGUGAAAUUCGUAGAUAUUGGGAAGAACACCGGUGGCGAAGGCGGCUAUCUGGACCGACAUUGACGCUGAGGCGCGAAAGCCAGGGGAGCAAACGGG